GGCUAGGUAACAUAAUGGAAAUGUUUCGGACUGCAAAUCCUGGAAUGACGGUUCGACCCCGUCCUUGGCCU
rnacentral:tRNA from 1 species